GUGGGUAGUUUGACUGGGGCGGUCUCCUCCUAAAGAGUAACGGAGGAGCACGAAGGUUGGCUAAUCCUGGUCGGACAUCAGGAGGUUAGUGCAAUGGCAUAAGCCAGCUUGACUGCGAGCGUGACGGCGCGAGCAGGUGCGAAAGCAGGUCAUAGUGAUCCGGUGGUUCUGAAUGGAAGGGCCAUCGCUCAACGGAUAAAAGGUACUCCGGGGAUAACAGGCUGAUACCGCCCAAGAGUUCAUAUCGACGGCGGUGUUUGGCACCUCGAUGUCGGCUCAUCACAUCCUGGGGCUGAAGUAGGUCCCAAGGGUAUGGCUGUUCGCCAUUUAAAGUGGUACGCGAGCUGGGUUUAGAACGUCGUGAGACAGUUCGGUCCCUAUCUGCCGUGGGCGCUGGAGAACUGAGGGGGGCUGCUCCUAGUACGAGAGGACCGGAGUGGACGCAUCACUGGUGUUCGGGUUGUCAUGCCAAUGGCACUGCCCGGUAGCUAAAUGCGGAAGAGAUAAGUGCUGAAAGCAUCUAAGCACGAAACUUGCCCCGAGAUGAGUUCUCCCUGAGACUUUAA
rnacentral:rRNA from 1 species